UACGUAGGGUGCAAGCGUUGUCCGGAAUUAUUGGGCGUAAAGAGCUCGUAGGCGGUUUGUCGCGUCUGCUGUGAAAACCCGAGGCUCAACCUCGGGCCUGCAGUGGGUACGGGCAGACUAGAGUGCGGUAGGGAGAUUGGAAUUCCUGGUGUAGCGGUGGAAUGCGCAGAUAUCAGGAGGAACACCAAUGGCGAAGCAGAUCUCUGGGCCGUAACUGACGCUGAGGAAGCGAAAGCAUGGGGAGCGAAC
rnacentral:rRNA from 1 species